GUCUGUUAUAUCUGGUCUUUUUCUAGUUUAAUGCGCACUUUAUUGUACAAAAAAAGAUAACAUAAAACAUUCAUAAGUUCAAACAAAGUAAAUAAAAAAAGAGUUUUGAAGUUCCAAUUUACUGAUAAAACUAAAGUGUAUCAGUGAAGAGUUCAGAAUAAGGAUUAGAGGGUGUACCCUAACUUUGACUCCCCAUCCCCUUCCAAAAAAAAUAUGGGAUGUUUGACGAUUUAUAUGAUUGUUGAUCAUUGUUAUAUCGGGCGUAUGACAUUUGCGCCGAUUUUGAAAAUAUUCAUUCUUUCAUUUGCGCCGAUUUCAUUUUUUCAUUUGCGCCGAUUUUAUAUUUGCUUCUUAUUAGAUUUACAGGUAAGUUAAUACUUGUACAUGUACUAUGUACUGUACUAUACUAUUGGUAAAGUCUGGUUAUAAAUGCUGUUCAUUUAUGUUAAUUUUGAUUCAUAUUGUUCUGAAACUUCAUAGUAACAUGAUAGACAUAUUGCACACUGAAACGAGUCGAGGAGUCAAUUCUUUAAUCAUUGAGGG
rnacentral:lncRNA from 1 species